rnacentral:tRNA from 1 species
GGGGAUUUAGCUCAGCGGCAUAAGCGCCUGCCUUGCAAGCAGGCAGUCAUGAGUUCCAAUCCCUG